rnacentral:rRNA from 1 species
UGGGGAAUAUUGGACAAUGGGCGCAAGCCUGAUCCAGCCAUGCCGCGUGAGUGAUGAAGGCCCUAGGGUUGUAAAGCUCUUUCACCGGUGAAGAUAAUGACGGUAACCGGAGAAGAAGCCCCGGCUAACUUCGUGCCAGCAGCCGCGGUAAUACGAAGGGGGCUAGCGUUGUUCGGAUUUACUGGGCGUAAAGCGCACGUAGGCGGACUUUUAAGUCAGGGGUGAAAUCCCGGGGCUCAACCCCGGAACUGCCUUUGAUACUGGAAGUCUUGAGUAUGGUGGAGGUGAGUGGAAUUCCGAGUGUAGAGGUGAAAUUCGUAGAUAUUCGGAGGAACACCAGUGGCGAAGGCGGCUCACUGGACCAUUACUGACGCGGGGGUGCGAAAGCGUGGGGGGCAAACAGG